rnacentral:ribozyme from 1 species
UGCCCAGCAACUCCUAUCCCUACCUCCUCGCGGUACCAACCCCGAUGGGAACUUUGGUCAUAGGCUGACAGGGAAGU